rnacentral:misc_RNA from 1 species
UGAUUAUAUGAUCUCUCAAAUAUGAGCGGCAAAAUAAAAUUCAAUUACAUUUGGCUCAAGAGAAUAAUAAGAAGUUAUUUUGUCCCCCAUAAACAAAGUACAUGAACAGCUGCUAAUAUACUAUAAAUGGAAAUAAUUUCACCAUUUCAUUGCUGAAGUUAUUUUAUCCCCCAUAAACAGAGUCUAUGAACAUGGUCCUAUAUCUUUUCCAUGGUCAUUCUUUUCACAGGCAAAGGACGAAAUGGAGUGGGAAUCAAGUUAAGGUCUAAUUUUCUCUUAACUGCAAGACCAAAAGCCUCACCCAUGUCAAGAUCUUGUUGUUGAGCUUCACCAGGAAGUUUCCACUUAAAAUGGUACAAUAGUUGUGCAAGACUAAGCUCAAUAUUAGCCAUAGCCAUGCUUAUACCAGGACACAUUCUCUUUCCAGCACCAAAUGGGAUAAGUUCAAAAUUAGUGCCCUUCAUAUCAACUGAGCUAUUAAGAAAUCUCUCUGGGUAAAAUCUUUCUGGAUCAGUCCAUGAAUUAGGAUCUCUUCCAAUCGCCCAUGCAUUGAUAAGUACUCUACUUUUAGGAUAUAUAUCAUACCCAUUAAGCUUAGUUCUCUCACAACAUUCCCUAGGAAUCAAUGCAAGCGGAGGAUGUAAUCUCAAGGUUUCUUUGAUCACCAACUUCAGGUAUUUUAAUUCAUGAAGCUUUGCUUCAUCUACGUCUCCCUUAUCACUGAAAAUAUCUCUCACUUCUACUUGUGCUCUUUUCAUGACCAAAGGGUUCUUCAUCAUUUCUGAUAUUGCCCAUUCUGUAGUUACUGAAGAUGUGUCACUUGCAGCGCCAAACAUUUCCUGCAACAGGAUUUUCAACUUGAGUGUAUUUUUAUACAAUUUCCAUGCAAAAUGAUUAAAAGGGUAUACCACACUAACCAGAAUGAUAGCUUUGAUGUUGUCGUUGGUCAAGGGGAAUUCAAGGCCCUGCAUAUCCAGAAGAACAUCUAGUAUAUUCUCAGCUUCAAUCUCUGACGCAGCUGCCUUGUUGGCUUUAUGUUCAUCUAUGAUUUCUUCAAGAAUCUCGUCUACCUCUCGAUGAAUCCUGCGGAGUUUAGAGUUCAUCCCACUGAUCACAUGAAGCAAUUUAUAGGAGGGAAACAGAUCGACCACACUGAAACCUCCUGCUGCAGCAAUGGCGUCCGUGAUAAGUUCAAUAAUUUGUUCCUGUCUUUUGAAUUUCUUUCCUAUGGAUGUUUUUGCAAUGAUGCUAUUAGUUAAGGACAAGAGCGUCCUGCUAAGAUUUAUUGGGGAUCCGGCUUUGGAAUAGAUAAAUUUGAUGAAAUUAGAAACCUCCUCUUCCCUGACUGAUUUGAAUGAUUGCACGCGCUUGGAACUGAGCAGCUCCAGAAUGGCAAUUUUUUUCAUUUGUCACCAGUAGUCUCCAUAAGGAGCAAAUAUGAUGUCUGUACGAUUAUAAAGCAUGAUAUCCGCAGCAAGGAGAGAGGGUCUUUCAAUGAAUUGGAGUUCGUGGGUUUUCAAGACUAGUUUUGCUGUUUCUGCAGAGGAAAUGACUACUGCGGGAACCUGGCCAAGCUGGAGACUCAUAACAGGUCCAUAAGUUUUGGCCAAGUCUGUAAGGCGGUGAUGGGGUUGACCGCCAGCCAGCUGGUGAAUGUUACCAAUGAAAGGUAACCUCCAGGGUCCUGGAGCGUUGGUGAUUAUAGAUUUCUUCCGUAUCUUGAACACCAUCAAUACAAAGAGUAGGAAGGCUACAAGGACUGGAAAAGAGAGGAUUUGCUGCUCCAUGGUCGGGGCUCAGGAUAUUAAGCUUGGUGAAGGAGUGGAGGACCUAAUUAUUAGACACAGCAGCAAUCAUUCUCGCCACUUUAAAAAUCAUGCUGAAGGUAGAUGCAAUUCAGUUAGAUUGUAUCAUUUCUGAAAACAAUUUUGUUACUAUAAUAUUUAGCUAGGGUGUUCGAUUUCAGUUUAGCUCGGGGUUUGUCUAGAAAUCAAAAUUUUAAAAUUUCGGUAUGAUUUCGGUUUGAUUUUUUAUUGUUUUUGUUUCAAUUUAGCAUAGUUCCCGGUUCUUCGAUUUCGAUUCAGUUG